rnacentral:misc_RNA from 1 species
CUUUGGCAGCUGUGGAAUCAUUCUUUUUCGCAGACCCACUGCCAUGGUUGCAGCAUUGAUCUCGGCAGUUUCAGUUCCAUUUUCAUUUUCUUCUCUAAUUGCAGCCAUCACAGCACUCCAAAUGAGGGCUGCCGCAGCCUCAACUCGUGUUGGACGUUCCAAACACGGUCCAUUGCCUACUUCUUCUCUCAGAGCAGCUAACUUAGAGCUAUCAAACACGAACCUUUUCGUCAUGAUUUUAUUUAACAAGUCCUCCUUCAAGAAAUUAUGCAACGAGAAAUUUAAC